rnacentral:rRNA from 1 species
UACGGGGGGGGCAAGCGUUGUUCGGAAUUACUGGGCGUAAAGGGCUCGUAGGUGGCCAACUAAGUCAGACGUGAAAUCCCUCGGCUUAACCGGGGAACUGCGUCUGAUACUGGAUGGCUUGAGUUCGGGAGAGGGAUGCGGAAUUCCAGGUGUAGCGGUGAAAUGCGUAGAUAUCUGGAGGAACACCGGUGGCGAAGGCAGCCCCCUGGGCUGACACUGACGCUCAGGCACGAAAGCGUGGGGAGCAAACAGG